rnacentral:rRNA from 1 species
AACGGACGCUGGCGGCAGGCCUAUCACAUGCAAGUCGAGCGAAGCCUUCGGGCUUAGCGGCGGACGGGUGAGUAACGCGUGGGAACGUGCCCUUUGGUACGGAAUAGCCCCGGGAAACUGGGAGUAAUACCGUAUGUGGUCGAGAGACGAAAGAUUUAUCGCCAAAUGAUCGGCCCGCGUUGGAUUAGGUAGUUGGUGGGGUAAUGGCCUACCAAGCCGACGAUCCAUAGCUGGUUUGAGAGGACGAUCAGCCACACUGGGAUUGAGACACGGCCCAGACUCCUACGGGAGGCAGCAGUGGGGAAUCUUAGACAAUGGGGGAAACCCUGAUCUAGCCAUGCCGCGUGAUCGGUGAAGGCCUUAGGGUUGUAAAGAUCUUUCAGUGGGGAAGAUAAUGACUGUACCCACAGAAGAAGCCCCGGCUAACUCCGUGCCAGCCGCCGCGGUAACAC